AUCCUCUCCCAAUUCCCAUGCACCCAAUUCCCAACAGACGACCGCCUAAAAGUAUGCCUAUCCGAGAGGCGAAAUAGCAGUGAUCCAGUAAAAAAAUGGCAAACACUCUGUGGCCCUGUGAGUGGAUUUUGCGUAAUUUGACGAGGUUUCCUUGGAUAUGCAUGCAUGUAUAUUAGCAGGAACGUAUGAACAUAAAAGACAAGGAAUUUUAAAAGGAAAAGGAAAAGGUUGCUAGCAUUUCUGGAAGGGGAAUAAGAAGUGGAAAAGUAGUUGGGUAAAAGUUUCUUUCCGCCUCUGUUUUUCGUGAUGACUAUCUCUAUCUCUAUGUAUCUGUACACCCUCAAAUCAUCAAGUGUAGUAAAUUACUAUUAUUACCAACCACUUUUGAUAUAUUGAAAUUUCUUUUCGGUUUGUAAGUUAUAAAAGAAUACUGUCUUAUUUUUCUUUUACUACCCUAUAUAUAUUUAUAUAUAUUUAUAGAUGAAGCAAUGGAAAGUUGAGAAAAUAUAAUUGAAAGAACGAAUAGGAGGAACGAAGAAGAGUCAUUUAAGAAAAUUUA